rnacentral:lncRNA from 1 species
UUUACAAGUGCUUUGGAGAAUCCUUUACUCUUUAAUUAAUUUGUGUCAUAUUUCCCCCACUUACUAAUUUUGAUUAGUGGCAUGCCAUGGAAUCAGAAUCUGUUCUGCAAAUAAGUAUCGAGUCUUGUUGAUGUAAAUGGUUUAGUCUUCUAAAGAUUAAAUAGUUUCUGAUAUUUUUCUCAACUUUUCCUCUUUCUCACCUUCCCUCUUUGUCUUUGUUCAUUCGGCUACUGUAGACAAACUAUGUUCUACUGCUAUGCUCCUUCAAAGAACAAUUGCAGCAACAUGUCCGAGUUCAUGCCAUGGAAGCAGUGAUGGCUUGUUGGGAGCUCGAUCAAUCUCUACAAAGCUUAACAGGUCAUUCCUAUUUCUUUUCAUAUUUCUACAUGUACAGCAGAUAAGUGGCAAGUUUACGAAUGGUUUAUAACUGAACAGCUUGAGAUGCAUUGACAGGUGUGUCAACGGGUGAAGGCACCGGUGCUACAAUGUCCGACGACGACGACCAGGUCGACAGUGACAUCAACUCGUAUGAUGGAAGCCUGGACGGGCCUGACACCAUGGGAUUCGGUCCUCUCGUUCCGACUGAGAGUGAGAGGUCCUUAAUGGAGCGUGUAAGGCAAGAAUUGAAGCAUGAACUGAAACAGGUAUAUGAACUAUAGGACUUGCAAAGCAUGUAUAAUAUAUUUGCUAGAUGGGAUAUAGAAAUGUAGCUAAUAACAUCUGCUUCUCAGGGUUACAAGGAAAAGAUUGUAGACAUUAGGGAGGAAAUUCUACGCAAGAGAAGAGCAGGUAAACUGCCAGGUGACACCACUUCUGUCCUAAAAUCUUGGUGGCAAUCACAUUCUAAGUGGCCUUACCCUACGGUGAGUUUCAACUUUGAUAUAAUCCCCUUGUAGCUUUCUGUUUAGCAAAUUAAUUCUUUUUAAAAUGGCUAUUAAAACCGUCGUUCGCUUGGAAUAGGAGGAAGACAAAGCCAGGUUGGUGCAGGAAACAGGCUUGCAAUUGAAACAGAUCAAUAACUGGUUCAUAAAUCAAAGAAAAAGGAAUUGGCACAGUAACAUUUCCUCAACUUCUGUUUUGAAGAGCAAACGCAAGAGGUAGGAUUGUAUUUAACAUAUAUGGUCGUUUUGUUCACAUAAGUUUGUUUUCAAGAACUUUAUAUAAAUAUUUUUUUUUUUCAUUUGUAAUUUGGGAAAAAAAGUAAUGCAGGUGACAUCAGCAGCCAACGAUUGAAGUAACUGUGUGUGACACUUGACAAGUCCACAACUUAUGGAAAAAAAAAAAAAAAAAAAAAGUCUAGCAUCAGCGAGAGAGCAAUAUUUGGCCAUACAGAAAGAGGCCGCAAGGAACUUCGUAUUUCCGAUACAGUAAAAGGUUAGACCAGCAAAUGAAGGGCAUCCUGAUGUCUGAUGUACCAUCUCAUAAAACUUUACGCAUAUGUAACACGAAAAACUCGAACCAGGUAGUCUUUUUGUACCACGUUUAUGUGGAUCUAGCUAGAUAUAGAAUUUUUGUAUACUAAGCGUCUCUAAAUUAAACGUUUGCUUUCUAUAUAAUUUCUAAUUUCUAUGGAUGAGAAUGGCUACAAAGACAGAUGUCUAUAGCAGUUUAUGGAUGUUUUGAUGUGUUACACCCUGUAGAAAUUUGGUAUCAGUGGUUUUGAGUGAAUCGCGGCAAACAACACUAGUUGUGUGCCGCUUUCCAUUACGCAUUCUGGGUGGUGAGCUUUGUUUAUCACAAGCGCCUUGCUUCCUUGUGAGUAUUUGAAAUUUGCUGUGUAGUCUUCCAAAAACCUUAAUGCGAAAUUGAAAUUUUAAGGCAAAAGUACAACCCAAAAAAGACUUAAUUUUGGUCUGUUUCAUAACAGCGCACAAUUAACUUAUCAAAGAAGGAAACAGGAGAACACAAACGACACCCAAUCUAACGUUUGGAUUCUAUAGAAGCUGAUUCAAGGGUGGUUUCAUGAACCGGCCUGCCUAUGGAACCAUGCUCAUUAGACAAAGGAGCGGCAAACCUUGCUGCAAAAUCAAGAGCAGCAUCAUUUCCUUCUCUAGCAACACCGCCAUCAAAAUUGAGAGCAUAACUAUGAAAAUCAUACUGAAAUCUAGUAUUCUUUUGCUUUUGUUUCUUGGACAACCUGUUGUUUUGUUUUUGCUUCAUAGUCUUGCAAUAUCCAGCAAUCUUUCUGAUGAAGGUCUUCCACUUGGAGCCGUCCAAUACUUGAGUAGACUCCUUAGCCUUGGUCAAUUUCUUCCUCCACCACCAUGUCGUCUCCUUGUGCCAUCCACCUUCUUGCUGCAGUAAGUAUUUACGUUCAUAAUCGUUGUCGUGGUUUUGCCGCCAUGUACAUGAUGUGAACCCAAAGAGGCCAAAACAAUCACCAACACCACAAGGAGGAGAAGAAGAAGAAGAAGAAGAAGCAUCCUGGUCUUGAUGAUAGUCAUCCAAGUCUUCUCCUUCAUAACGUUCGUACUCGUAGAUGGGCGAAGUGUGGUUCAUGAUCAAGGUUGGUUUGUGUUCAUUGUUACUAGCCAUCGCCAUAAUCAUUAAGCAGAGAGAAAGAAAGAAUGUAAUCUAGGGUGAAAGACUCGGAAAGGAAAGGUCUUAAAUAAUAGGGGAAGCGAUAGAGGAGAGUUCAAAAAGGGAAACAAAAAUUAGGAAAUAUCAAAGAAAGAAAAGAAGGGUGGUUGGUCGUCGCCUGGUGCGAAAACCUGUUGUUCAUCGCGCUUAAACCAUGCUAGUGAAGAAAUAGAAUUCCGAAAUAAAACAAAACAAGGAAUUGUUGUGGGAUGGGAUGCAAUAAGGUUUGACUAGUGGUGUGGCCGGCUCAGUUGCUACACGGUGUCGUAAUGGGAAACAAUAUUUGACAAUGAAAGCCCAAACCUAGCAAUCAAAACGCGUCCGGGAUUGUUGGGCUUCGGCUUUCCUUAAUUAAUACCCACACCAAAAUAAAAACACACAACAUACGCACACGUCUUACUGUAGGACGACCUGGUUCUUAUUUGAACAGUUGAUUAAUAGAUUCCAUAAGAAAUUUAUUUCCCGGCCCUGGUUCUGGUUCUUAUCGCAAGGAACGAAACGAUCAUGUCCAAAUGUUUGUGACUUAAAAUCUUCAUGUACCUUGUUAAGCAUAACCCAUGAAACCAACCAACUUCGAUCCUUGUUUGUUAUGGUACGCAACAGCAGACUAUGGGAAAUGUUGAAUGUUGCUUCCUACCUAAUCCAAUCCAAAGUGACGAAGCCAACGCAAAAAAUGCAUACAAACCAAUCCAAUCCUCGUGCUUGUAUUGACGUGUCAAAACGUGAAAGAAAACACUUGAUUCAAAGGCAAACCUAACUGAGUUGACACUUCUAUAAGAUGUAAAUAUUUCUGUAGAACAAUGAAACGGCUUCUUCCCCUAUCACAUUAAAACAAGACACAAUAGUUAUCUUCCAACAGCCUCAAACACACACCCAAAUAAAGGCCCAUUGGAUGAUGGGAGAGACAUCUAUGAUGAUGCAACUUGACUGAUAUAUCAUUUUUGAAUCUGAGGCUGUGUAGAAGGGGGUUGCUGCGGUUGGCUUUGUCCUUUAGGAGGAAUCUUUGCGGUCAUAGCACGUAAUUCGUUUGCAAUUUCAGUGAAGUUCAGCCUCUCAGUUGGCUCCGAAGACCAGCAUCUCUCCAUCAGUGAUUUCCAUUCUGGAUCACAAGAGUCCGGGACUGGUGGCCGCAAUGUAUUGCUCACAAUACCUCCUGCAUUAUAUUAUGAAGAACUGGCUAUCAGCAUCUCUAAAUCCGAGUGAAAUCUUAAAAGGACUGAGCAUGUUUUACAAGUGACAAGUUAUUAAGCACUAGAAGAUCACCUAUGAUAGCACCGUAGUGCAAAUCUGCAUAUGGUUCAUCUCCGGUGAGGAGCUCCCACAACACAAUACCAAAAGAAAACACAUCUACCUAGUGUACCCAAAAAAACCAAGGGUAAAUAACUAAACAAUAAAAACAGGUUUAAGAGAGAUUCACAAUCAUUUGAGAUGAUCUAGAAUAAAUUUAAAAAGAAAAUACGAACCUUCUCAGAAACAAGGCUACUGCCACCAUUCAACAGUUCUGGUGCCAUCCAUGGAAGUGUUCCCCGCACACCACCGGAGAUCAGUGUAUGACAUUUCACUUUAGAUAGCCCCAAGUCACCAACCUGGCGUCAUAAGCAGAUGGUAAACUCAAUCUUAUAAACAGUUCAACCAAAUACAGAGCAUGUCACACUGGAUCAAUGUUUUGAACUGCAUAUUGCCAAUACAGUGAUACUGCUGAAAAUAAAUGCAUAUCAACAAAAAGAGGCACAUUAUAACAUAUGAGAAAUCAAGUGAAGUAGGCCAAGCUUGACUCAUUCCCAUCCAGACAAAGCCUUAUCAUCUAAUUGAGUUCUACAACACAAGGAGAAAGGAAAAAAAAAAAACAUAGCCGAAACUAGGUACAGUAAUUCAAAGAGUAAUUCUGUUUAAAGUUUAAAGACGGAAAAGGGCUCUAUUUUUGCUCUUGUUCAGCUCACAAGAAGCAUUAAUUUUCCUUAAGUUUUCAACAACAAAUGCAUGCUCUCGAAAAUGAUACUGCAUUUUAAAAAGAUUGUGGCUUAUUAUACGAAAAGAAAGAUCACAUCAACCACAGAACGGACCAGAAUGAGAAUGACCAACAUUCCAAUCACUUACCUUGCAUAUUGGGCGGUGUGGAUCUCGAAGAUUGACAAGUAAGUUGUCACUUUUCAAAUCAAAGUGUACUAUAUUCUUUUCAUGCAGGUACUCCAUCCCAAAUGCCACAUCCAUUGCAAUCAAGAGACGCUUGCGCUUGUCCAGAGUCCUGCUAAAAUGAAUUCUGCGUCACCUUUUAUCCAAUUGGAAAUUACAUACCAACUAGUCAACUACUACAUUCAUUCUAAUUUUAUCAAAUUAAUGCAAGGAAAAAGAAAGCCAAACAAACACAUUACUUCUCAUUCUUCUGCAAGGCAUUUCUCAGAGAGCCAUUAAUCAUAUACUCUGUCACUGUUGCCACUGAACCUCCCGGCCCAUCAAGCACAACGCCAUAGAAAGCUACCACAUUAGGGUGGUGCAAGUCAGCAAGUUUGAUGGCCUCAUUCCAGAAAUCUUCUCUCUGAUUGAAUACAAAAUCUCUCUGAUUAUCUAAGUGAGGUAUUAAUAAACAAAAAUUAAUAGCUUUUGGAAUCUAGUACAAAAGACAAACCAUGCGCUCUUGUUCUGAAGGCUUCCCAGCAAAACACCUAUCAUUUAUUCUUUUAAUUGCAACAUCAGUGCCCCUCCAUUUCCCAUGAUAAACAGUACCAAAGGUUCCAGAACCCAAUUCUCUUCGCUCUUCAAGGUCACUGUUCUUUAUAAUCUACCAAAAGAGUAGAAACCGGUCAAUGGUACAAGUUAACAUCACAAUAUCAGAAUAAGGAAAAAUAGAAAACCAAAUUUUCACCUGCAAUCGGCCUCGGCUAUCUGAUACUGGAAAACCAAUAUUUGCCUUAUCUCUGAAUUUGGUCUUGACAUCCUGAAAUAGAAAAUGGAAAUUAGGAGAGUCCAACAAAUGUUUUGAAAGUGUGUGCGUGGUGUGUGCGUGAGAGAGAGAGAGAGAGAGAGAGAGAGAGAGAGAGAGAGAGAGAGAGAGAGAAACUAGUACACACACAACCAAUGAAAAUGCUCAAACAUGCACAUAGAUGGCUUCCUAAAUACCUCAACUUUCGCUCUGUUUUGCAUGCCUGCAGUAUUGUUUUGAACAUCUUCAUCUUGAUUGGAUUGAUAAGCAUACUCAUCUUUAUCACGUAAGUCAGGAUUUGACGGCGAAGAUGACUGAAAAACACAGGCAGCUACUCCCUCAGCAACAGCUUGAAGUUCUUGCUUUAUUUGUUCCUCGGCUGAUCCUAUGACAAUGAAACAAAACAACAUUCUAAUUAAGCAAUUAACUUAAUACUAAAGUAAAAACAAAUCAACAUUUAACUAACCUUUGGAAGACUGGGCAGGCUCUGAACUAAGAUCCCUGUUCAAAUUGCCCAGUGACUGCUGACCCCCAUCAUCCAUUCGCAAUUCUGUAAAUGGUUCUUUUCUCAAUUGUAUUUUGGUUGGUUUAGGAGGCAAAUGAGUAUCGUGGCUCAAACUCCAAGGAUCCUGAUUGCUGAACAGUGAGUUUGAGGAGUCCUGGGGAACAGCAUCAUUUGAGGUAACACCGUCCACAUCAUUAGGUACCAUCUUGGGCUGCAAUCUUAAGUUCUCAUCCUUCCAUUCAGCAGGAGGUUGAAUUCCAUUAGUUAUAUGGGUAGAAACAACAGGGUUGCCAUAAUUAAAUUCAUAAGCAUCCUGAGGAUGGAAUCCAACUCUUGAUUGUGGGUAAGAUUCAGGAUUUCCCCACAUAGAUGGCUGUACCGCCUCAAAGAAUUCUACAGGCUGCGAAUUAUACCCAUGUGAGACUUCAGCAGGGGAAGAAGCCACUACUUCGGUUGGUUUAAAGUGACUCCUGCCAACAGUGUUAUCUAGAGUCACCUCCCUACCCCCAACUUGUGGUGCUUUAUGGUCAAAGCUGUCUUCCACUCUAGGCGUAUCAAUGGGUGACUUCCCAUGCUCAUUAUUAACAUAAACCUCAGUGGGGCUUAUCCUGAGGGUCUCCAUUCUCCCGUCGAUUUGUCUCAGAUGAUCAUAUGCAAUGCAAGUGUCUACAUUGUCUUCUUUUGGAAUAACUCCAGGAAAUUUGUUGGGGUAUGCAGUUGGACAUUCAUGAACCAGAUAUUCUGAAGUUUGAACAGGUGUGCCCCCAACAAGAGGUACAUCUUGAUUAAAAGGAUCAUUAACUAAAUUUUCCUGUUUAACCUGGUACUGGAAUGGCGCAGAAUGUUGUUGAACAGCAUCAUCUUGACAGCGCUGAGGAAUAGCCACCAUGAAUGUGCUAUUUGGUGACUGUACGUCACCCCCUCUCCUGAUAACACCAUGGGGAGCUGAAAUCAUUGGAAGAUCAACUUGUUGAAGAUUCAUUGUCUCAUUUUCACGAGUUCCCUCAGAAAUCUGCGAGAUCCCAGUCACCUCUGAAUGAGAUGUUCCAACAAGAGGAUCUACUUGACCUUGGACCCUAAGUCGAGCCUCAACUCCUUGCCCAAAAUUACCUUCUGCUAAUGCUCCACUUACCAUAACCAUGUUCAUUGGUUGAGCUCGCAAAUUGUCCUCCAGGCGGGGACUAUGAUAAGUUGAAUUUGAAUCAGAUACUGGGCUUCCACCACUGUCUCUAUGAACCUGUACCAAAGUAUCAGAAUGAGCAUGAGGCAAUGCUCUCUGACACAUAUAACAGUCCUCCAACCUUUGGGAUUUCUCAGGAUACAUUACCUGUUGGUGGGAUACCAAACCAUCAUGAAAAAUCACAUGCUCUGGUGGUGGAACCUGAUGCCAGCCAUAAGCACCUCCUACCACUGGUGAUGGGACCUGAACCUGAUAGGAAUUAUAGCUUUGCUCAGUAGGAAACUGGACUACCCUGGGAACAAAGGUGCUCUCAUCUACAUAAUGAUCUAAUCGAGUCUGCUGGGGUUGCAUCAAUGGCUGAAGCACAUUUGGUCUUAUAUUAACAUGAGAAGAUGAGGGAGUCAUUGUCAUGUGCACUGCAGGAAUGAAGUGAUGUUGGGUGAUGCCAGCAACACUAUCACAGAAUUGCUGUUGGGUAUAUACAGGACUAGCAGUCCCCAAUAGGUGAGCAUUUGGGAAACCCAUCUGAGGAGGAAGCUGGAGAUGAUCUGCUCGGUUCAUAACUUCUUGGCGAGGACCAACAUAAGUUUGCAGAUAAGGAGCAGUGGAUGGAAUGCCAAUUCCAGGUUGCUGCAACCCCACUUGCUGCUGCGAUACUGUAACAGGAACAGACCUUUCUAACUCACACUCAGGCUGAGAAGGUGAUGUUUGGGGAGGCGCAGACUUAACCACAGGAAUGCCCAAUGGAACUGUAGAAACUUCAGAAUAAACUGCAGGGUUAGGAUCCACAAUUACCAAUCUUGUACUAUUAUCAUGAGAAGUAGCUGAAUCCCCUUUAGGUGAUAAUUUGCCUGCUGAUGGAGGUCCAGUAGUGUCACCCUGACCAGGAAUUGAGCUAUCAACAAUAUCAGUUCCGCUAAAAUCAGAAUUCUGUGUUGAAGUAGCACUUGUCAUACUCUCCUUCCUCAUGAUACCACCACCGACCCCAUCCAUAAUCCCAUUGACAGCAUCAACAUAUCUUUGCUCACUAUUAUGUAAAUCCCCGAAUUGUACAGCACUAGAUGGAUCAACUUCUGAAGCAGAAAACAAAAACACCCUCAGUUUUGCGGACCCAUCUGGAGAUCGCUCAACCAACUUCCCAUACUCAUCCUUCAUAUUGUCAAGAUCAUCAACACAUGAAACUGACACCAGUGCAUCGAGAUCCUCAUCAGGGAGCUGAUAUUUAAUAACCACAGGUUGCCCAUAUGUAUCCAACAUCUUCUGCACUAGCUCACUGAAGCUCACAUCUCUCCGAACACUAAUAAUCCUUGUCUGCCCUCCAACGUAUCUCAACAUUCCAUCACUUGGUCUGGGCAAAAUCUUUCCCCCAAAGCUGCACAGAAGCUUGACUUUCUUCCCUGACACAGAAUCAUCUCCACCAUCGUCGCUUGCUUGAUCAGUUCCAUUGCCACCAACCCGAUUGCCAAAAUUGGCAUUAUUACCAUACCCAGAUGUCAAAUCAUUCCCAGUUUGAUUAGCAACAUUACCACUGACCUUAUUUCCCAAAUUGGGAUUAUAACCAAAUCUAACUGCCAUAUCAUUAACACCAUGAUCCAAACCAUUGCCUACAACCCUAUUAGACAUAUUAAAAUUACAGACAGAAGGCCCAGAAGCAGUUGUUGUAGUAGAAGAGCUUACAAGAUCAACAGCAUUGCCGCCAAGCCGACCGCCCAAAUUAGGACUGUAACCAAUUCCAACAGCAACGGCAGUGUUCAUCCCUGGAUGCCCCACCGGCACAGGGAUGCGAGGGCGCCAUGUGGGCACCCCAGACAUGGCAUUUCCAUACCCUACGCCAACAAGCCCAGCCUCCGCGACCGUUGAUGGGUAAAAGACAGGUAUCGAAUUAGGGCUAUUAACUUCAAGAGCCAGGUUGGGGAAAAGUCCAUCUGGGUUUCGUCCAGUUGCAGUAGCGAGCGCAAUGCGGGGCUCAUCAGCCACAGUUCGAGCUACGUUUAACGGUCUUAACUCUUUGGGAAACGAAUUUUGAUCAAACGCCAUAUCUUCAACAAUAAAGAUUUCAAUUAAGGGUCUGCAAAUCAAUCGUAAAUAAGAGAACGUAGAAUCAAAUACGAUAAAGCUAAGGCCUUUUCUUCUGGAUUACAAUAAAGCUACGGUUUUUUCCCCAAGAUUUUCUAAUUCAAGUAUUGAAUUUCUUUAAUAAUCUGGUAUAAACCCCAGCCAGAUUGCACCAAACUAGAAUAACAUUUCACAGCUUUCUAACGAAAACAGGGCAAAACAAGGAAAAAACAAUUGAGAAAAGACAGAGACAGAGACAGAGAGAUAAGUACCAGAUUGGAACGGCGUUUGAGAGAGAGAGAGUGGAGGAGAUAAGACGCAGAAGAGGAACGAGACAAAGAAAGCCUGAGUCGGUGGAGAGCAGUUCCAAAUUCCAAGGAAAUCAAAGCUCAGUGGCAAACGUCUCAAACAGCACCUCGAUUCAGGGUUUUGUUGAAUCUUGUUCCUCGUCACUUUCUUUCGCUAAAAAUCUGGUCUUUUAUUGUUUUUGUUCAUCUUUGAAUAUUUUCCGGAUGAAUAUUAUUUUUCUCGGGAAAAAUGAAUGAAACUACAGAAUAGCAGUGGGCUUAAGAAAAGUUUAUUGUUUUGGGUUGGAGUCUUGGAGAAGAGAGGAGGUGAUGUGGGGGGGCAAGGAGGCACGUGGAUGUCUUCAUGCAAUAUCGUGAGUCAAAAAAAAGUACACAAUCAUGUGUUCGUUGGAAACUUGGGAGGAUUUGAUUCUGUGAGAUGGUGACAAGUUUGCAGAGAAUGGGACCUUUCUAAGGUAGUGUUGUUGGUGAUACAUAUUUCCUAAAGGAGAGGAUCAUAUCAAUCAAUAUCCAGUUAAAGGGCAAGCGAGAGAAGACAAAAACUAAAGUAGAAACUUUCUUCAAAUCCACAUUAAAUUAAACUCCACGUUACACCUCUUAUUUAAUGCCCUUUUUUACAAUCAAAUUAUUUAUAAACCGAAAUUCAAUUGUGGUUUAAUUUUCUUUUACUGCAAUUAUGGCAUGACAUCAGAUCAUAACUAUAACCUUAAAAUCUCCCAACCAUGAUUACAGAUGGUUGAUAUUUAUUUUUGAUGGCACGAUGGUCAUCAAUCUGAAGUGAAGAGUUAAUUAUAUUUAUGACAUUAUUGUCUUAUUAAUAUGUCCAUCGUUUUUACUUUUGUUAAUAAAGAAUUAGUAAUCUUAUCUAUUCCUUUCAGGUUAUAGUUUCGAUUUUCCUUUUUUUGUAUUACUUUGUAUGAAAUCAUAAUAAUAAUAAUAAUAAUAAUAUAAAUAGUAAACAAGGGAGGAGUGCCAUUAGACAUUGGAAAAGGUAAAAUACAAUUGCUUACGAGUCUAUGUUGAAGCAUAACAUCUCUAACUCUGCCAAAUUUCCAUUGUUACCCGAAAGAUGAACGAAGCUGAAAAAUAGAGGUAUACCUUUUUAUUUUCUUGAGUAAUUUUACUUAUAUUCUUCAUAGAGAAUUCUUUUUGACGGGUAAUUGUAAGUAGUUGUUGCCAUGAAUCCUUAGAGGAAGGGAACCCUCCCCAUGUUCUUGGAGUAACUUAUUGUAUGACAUAACUUGGUUGUAGUUGGAAUAGGGAAACUUCGCCGUGAAGUAUAAUGAGCCGACACUUCUCUAAUUUCUUUCUUGGAUUAUUAUAUAUCCGUUAUCGUUUUGGCUUCAUCUUUUUGUUAUGGUCUACUUUCUAAAUCCCAAUAGGAUAAUUCGAUUACUUCUUCAAUUGUGACGUGUUCUUACUGGCCCCACAGUUCCUGGCGGGGGAGAAUGAGGCAAAAGUUUGAUAAAUUUAUACCAUGAGCUGCUCUUUUUACUUUCUUGGGUGAGGUCGGUCCAAUAUAUACUUGCUUGAUGUUUUUUUGUUUGAAAAGAAAACAAAGCAUAAAAACGUAAACCAAAACGUCAAUACGUACGCGGUUUCUUUUUUCUUUUGGAAGAAAGGGUGUCUGAUUGAUUGACUCAAAGUCAAGAAAGGUGAUCCACACUCACUCACACACACACACACAUAUAUAUAACCAAAUAAAACGUCCAACGUUUACUUUUUCUUAUCUUAUUGGGCAAGGGUUUUAGUAAGUUAACCGUUUUGAGGUACUAGUUUGUGUUUCAUAACUUACAGACAUCAUUCGUACAGUUGUGUGCAUAACAUCAUCAUUACCAUCUGUUUUAUUGUUUUCUUAAACAAACUUAAAGCAUGAUUAAAUAUAAAUAUUCACACUGAAAGAAUCACCUAGCUAGUCAAACUAAUUAAGGUCGGUUAUUAUUUUUUAAAUUUCAUGACGAAAGCAAUUAACUAAUUAUCAAUACAGUACGCACGUCCACAUCAUGCGCUAUAUCUUUCUGGUAUUGAAAGUCAAAGUGAAAGGAAAGUACAAGGAAGUUGAGUAGAUAAGCCUACACCAGUUAUAACUAAUAUUAUGUGUUGCUGGUGUGGUGGUGGGGUUAAGUGUCCUUCCUGCAUUAAGCAAUGAUGUGAUCAAGUGUACACACACACACACACAUGCAUCUGUCUGCUUGCUUUGCUGGUCAUCGGUCAAAACAACUAAUUGUGUACGUGUGUGCGUGCACGGUUGUGUGAGAUGCGAAAUAACUGGGAUGUUUCUCUCUAACACGGCCAAUUCCCAAUUGGCUUCAGCUUUUCAAAAAUAAAGACGAUGCUUGUUUUUGUUUCACUUGUAAGUUGUAUUUUACUAGGUUAAUUAGGAACUUGGCCUAGCUAUAAGGUACUUUGUCUCACUAAAAUGUCCCGUGAGAGGGUCCUUAAUAUUCAUCUGAUCAAUUACAAAGUUAUAUAAUUAUAAAAGCUGGUUGCAGUUGGGACCAGACAAUAGUUAAUGUAUGAUUGAUAUGUAUAUCAGGUCAGGGAGAGUCUGGUUUUGUGCAACCAAGCAGGCCAUCAUGCUAAUAAUUAGAGUGUGGGCAGUAGCCAUUUUGGACCAGUUCUUGCCAUGCUCAUUAAAUUUCAAGGCCCAGGCUUACAAUAAAUAUAUGAUGAUCUUGCUCUGGUGGGGGUGGCCCAUACUCUUGCAAUGCAUAUGCAUGCAUGCAAUUGUUUACAUAUCGACUAAUUGAUGACUUAACAAGAUUCUACUAAUUUAAUUAUGAUUUGAAAUUAAUCUCAAGAUGAUCAAAAGAAUUUGAGUACUCUGCACUGCAAAAUUACCGUAGCCGUAGCAAUAAUUACAUUUAAUGAACAGACCAAAUUUUGUGUCUGUUCAUGUAAAUAUAUAUACAUGAUCAAUAAUUACAUUUAAGUUUAACGAACCUAAUUAAUUAUUGAGAAACAAUUGAUGAAUAAAAUGAAUUAAUGAACCAGAGGCCCGCGCGAGAGAUGAUGAUCAACUACAAGCAGUUAUUUCCUUAGAGGCAGACGGAGAAGCGGCGGAGUCCUGCAAGGUUCGGGGCGGCGAGGGCGGCAACCGGGCGGAGAAGCUCCUGAAGGGAUAGUCCUCGAUGUUCUCCUCCUCGUGAUCAAAAUUGAGGGCGUAGCUGAGGGGGUCGUAUUUGAAGUCGGCGGAGGCCGAGUGCCUCCGCGCCGUGUGGCUCCGUCCCAUACGCCCGAUCAAGCUCUUGCACUUGUCCUUCAAUUCCGCGAACUCGUAAUGGCUGUUGUGAUGGCCGUGAUGGUGAUGGUGGUGAUUGUGGUGAUGGCUAGAGCGGGACUUGCUGGAGGAGGAGAAGGAGGAGUUGCGGACGAGGCUGACGUUGGCGGAGUGGGCGUGGGGGGUGGUGGGGGCGGUGAUGGAGUGGUGGUGCGGCGUCGUUUUGGGGAAGCACGGGAUGAUGCAGAGGGAGGAGCGGAGUUUCUGCUUGAGGGAGGAUGGGGAGCAGGGCUCGUGCUCGUUCAGGGGCUCUAUCAUUUUUCCCAGUUCGAGUUUGAGGCUGCUUUUGCAUGAAACUUGUUGAGAGGGAAGGGAGAGAGAUCUUGUGUAGGGUUGGGAGGCGGAGCCUCGUGGGAUUGAAAUGACGGAUGAGUACACGGGGGUUUCGGGGUUUUCAGGGGAUCGCGGGGACGUGAGAGGGAACCAACUUGUUGAGGCCCCGGAUUUCUUGGGAUGCUCUUGGGGUUUUUGGUCUUUUAAUCCGAUUGGACCUCAGAAUCGGAAUUCAAUUCAAUAUUCAAAGGUUGUCGCUUUUUCAGGUGUUUUUUUUUUUUUUUUUUCUCUCCUUUUUUUGGUUCUCCUUAGAUUUUGGAGAGGAUGAGGAUGGGCCCAUAAUCUCCUAGUGAAAUAUUCAAAGUCCAUUUGCAUGAGAUAUGGGCUGGGCUGUAGUAUAAUUGGGGAGUGAUGGGCUUAAAAUUGGAAUGUGGGCUCAAAAACUAUCCACAACAGGUCUAUGUUGAGAGGUUCAAUAUGGCCCCUCGUUAUUGAUCUGAAACCUAGUAAGGACCCCUCGUUAUAACCCCUCUUUCAUUGCAGUCUUUCUGAUAAAUUAUUAGGGAAGAAUAAUAUAAAGGGUCCGAAUCCAAUUUAAUAUGAGUUGGUAGGAUCCUUAAAAUCCUGGUAAUGAUGUUCCUACUUGGUAGCUCACAUGAUAUAGGAAUCUUUGUAAUGUAACAUGACUCAACUACAAUCUGCCCAACUCAUAUUAAAUUAGUAUAAUCUUAGUAAUGUAAAAUAGCGUUAUUCCCGUUUCAUUGAAGUCUUUCCUCUAAUAGAGAGAAGAGGAGAGGAGAGGUGAUUUGGUUUGGUUGGUCACGUGGUGGCUCACCCACUGAGUCAGCAGCAGAACCUCAUUCGCCACCGCUUGGCUUGGAGUCUUGGACACUUCGUAUGCUUUUGGACCAAAAAAAUUAAAAAAAACAGUUUGUAUGAUUUGCCAUUAAGUUGCACUGCAGCUUCCUCACCCUUUCCAUUCCCUUUCUCAAUUCUCACACGCACUCUCUCUCUGACCUUUUUUUUUUUUUGGUCCUGUUUUUCUCAUAAUCUUUUUACUUACUUUUUAAAGAUCUAACUCACAUUUAUAAUUGAGAAGAGAGAGAGCAAGAGAGAGCAGAAGAGGAUUGAUGCAGAUUGUUUUUGCAACCAUCAAUGGUAUGGACCCUCACUUGUCUUGUCUGCCACCACCAUCUUCAUUUCACUCUGAUUAUUCUCAUCAUUCACUACUCUCUUCUUCUUCUUAAAGCCUUUUUGCUUGUAUUAUUGCUCUUCUGUCUUAUAAUCUCCUCUUCCUUAAAUCAUAUUACAGGAUCAUAUUGGAAGACAUAGACAUGGAUCAUUUGUAAGACAAAUAUAAGCACUUGCUUUCUUUUGUUUUAAUUUUGAGCUGCCUUGGUAGCUAGCUAGCUAGCUGCAAUGGCUGGGAUGCUUCCUGGUGUGGAAUGCGCUCGAAGGAGACGAGUCCAUCAAAGCGGCGAGUCACCAGGCGUGGGCACACAUGGCUGGACCAGGCGCUCCUCUUUUUGUUUGUAUGCUAGCAACCAUGAAACUCACCAUACCUCCACCUUUUCCCUGGUAAUUAUCUGCCUUAUGCCUUCUGCCACACGAUAUAACAAAUUAUGUUACAAACCAACUAUAUAUAUUUCUUAACUUUUCUUGAUUGUUUUAAAGCAAAGAAGCAUAUUGAACCAAUCAUACAUGGAUGAGAAACUGGGAGUGGAAGCCCGAGAAGCUAAAGGGAGAUUAGAUGAAAGACUCAGAACACAGAGAAAAUCAGAACCCAAUAAAAGGUAAUUAAGAACAAAUUGCCAAUAACAUAACAUGUGUUGUUGAUUAUCUUAUCUAUGUGUUUUACAUGUUUUGUUGUAUGAUGAAUUCAGGCAUAGUGUUCAUAGAGAAGAAGAGAGAUGUGUGGAUGGUGGAAGAUCUAUGUUUCUUCUCGGAGAAUUGCAGAAAGAAGUCUUUGGAACAAAGAAGAGCGGGUCAAAGAGGUUCAGCUGGGCCAAGUUGAGCUGGAAGGCCUCAGACCAAGAUGAGUGUGCUGUCUGCCUGGAAAUAUUCAGGCCUCGUGAGACCCUGGUGCACCUGCCCUGUGCACACAGGUUCCAUUCUGGCUGUAUGGUUCCAUGGCUACAGAACAAUGCCCAUUGCCCCUGUUGCAGAAUGGGGAUUGUCUCCCAGUAAAAAUCUCUUUUGUACUUUUGGUAAAAAUGGAAAUUGUAAUCUAGAUAAAGCUUUUCCAGUUAUAGUUAUAGAGUUGGUCUGAGCAAUUAGCUUGUAUCUAAUCUACCAUAUCUUAGUUUUUCUUUGGUUGAAGUGAAAAGUUGCCAAGUAGUCUUUGAUUCCCCAAUCAUGGUAAAUACUUAAAGUUAAUUAGAAGCUGCAACAUGUUGUUAGGCCCAUAUAAUUCCUCCACUUGCAUGAGAAAGGGAGGGAGGGAGCUUCUUGUCAUCUUCCAUCCUUGAAGGAUGAAAAAUAGACAAGGUAUUUUGUUUGACAAGACUUCAAUUUGUGAAACAAAUAAGUGGAUGAAUCAAAUUGCACAAGAGAUCACUGUCUAUCCAUUGUUUUCUUCCCCCAACCUAAAAUUGAAUACCAGAUGAGAAGAUGCACCACUCACUCAUCAUGUGGGCAGUGGGCCAAGAACAGCUUCAUUAUUUUGGGACAAUCUUUGCUGUCUUGUCUGGUCGACCUAUUUUUUUUUUUUGUUUUAGUGGAAAUUAUUUGUGGUCGUACUAAUCAAAUGACAUAUCUUGGCUGUAAAUUAUGGGAAGCAAAAUGACCAUUCGGCUAAGUAAGUGGUAGAUGAGAUUGUUAUAAACAAUUGCAACAUUAUAUGAUACCUUGAAGAUGGAAUGUCAUUUUCAAGAUUGGGAUAGUAAAGAAGCUGGCAUUGCUAACUAGGAUUCCAUCCUAAUUUGGCUAAACUUUUCUUCUUUUCUUCCCAAACCCACCUUUCCUUUUUUUUGUUCCUUUCACUGGCUAGCUGGACUUCACUACAGAUUAGAUUAGAUCCUAAUCUUUUGUCUUGAUUAUUAAUGGAGAGAUGAUUUGUUGAUUUUUAAGAUAAGCUUUGAUUAUUUGUUUAUUCUUUUUUCUUUUGAUUGGAGUGGAGUGUGAGUGAUACAAGAGUCCAAAACGUUUGAAAGUUUUCACAUGUGAUGUGACUCAGACAUAGCCUUCGGUAGCACGUUUGAAAGUUUACCUGUCUGGUUUUUAAAGAGCCAUAUAAUACAAGUUUUGUUUAAAAAAUAACUCAUUUUACACAGCCAGCCUUAAAAAGUUUAGAAAACUAACAUAUUUUAGAUUAUGUCAAGAUAUUGCCAUAAUCGAAAUUGAGUCGAUAUGUGACUUAAUAUGGAGGUUGAGAUGAUGGUACAAAAUUUCGAAAUCUCAAAUAACACUUCGACCUAAUUUUGAUAAUGUCAAGUUCAAAACAAGUUAGUUUCUAAAUUUGAAGAAUUAAAAUAUCUAUUUUUCAAAUUUUUAGGAAUAAGAGAAGGUGAAUUUUGCACAUAUCUCCCCUACCAAAGGCUAAGACUAAGAAUGUCAAGGCACCUUUUGUAGGGGAAGAAAACACUCUAUUAUUGCCAAGGGAAACGUACCAAAACCGACGACGUUUCAUCAACCGCAUAUUUCAUUAUUUUGCCACCAUGUGAUUUUACCUUUUUAGGCUCUCCGCAACGGCUAGUUCCUAGUGACCGUUUCCCGUCUUCCCAAAUUCAAAAUCUGAAAUCGACCUCUAAGUCUAACCCACCAUCAGCUUCACAGUGUGUUUCACUAUACAAACAACGCCCACAAGCCAAAACCAAAAUCACAGCUCUGGCAAUUUGCAGAAACAUUCGAUCUCGCUUAAACCCAUUUAGCAAUUCAAAUCAAGAUCCCAGAAUUUCAAGAAUGGUGUAUUCAUACGCACCCACAUACUACUCUACUCUCCAUGACUCGGUGACCAACUUAUGCAAGACCAUUCUUCCUUUCAGCUUCAAGAAACGGAGGUUGCCAGCUGCAGAGCACAAGCUUUCAAAGCUGCAAUCAGACAAUCUCAAAUGGCAGCAAGACUCUUUCCACCAGAUGUUAAAUUUGAUGGGUCUUCAUAAAGAAGGCAUUUUGGCUGAGACUGAGGUCUCAGCUUUCCGCUCGCAUUUGCUUGACACCCUAAUCGCCUCUCCCACUGAGCGUGAACAAUCGGCUAUAUUGAGAGACAAGUUGCUAUUCUUGCAGGUAAACCAGUCUUCCCUUUUUUCUUCUUCUUCAUUUUCCUUUCUUUCAUUGUGUUUUCUAAGUAACCAAACGGGAAUAAUUAAUUAAUGAAGCUUUAAAUCUUUAGGAACUUUUGUAUGCAAAAUGCAUAUCUGAAGAUGAGUACCAUUCUUCCAAGAGGCCAUUGCUGCAACGAUUAGCAGUACAGGGAGCUGAGAUUGAGGCCAGAGAUGUAAUUGUUGCAGGGCUACCACCUAAGGACCCAAAGGAGAAUACUGAUCAAGAGCAGUGGUCUGUCAUUGACUUAAAGGAUGAGAAAUGCUUGCUAAACAAGGACAAAGAUAAGUCAAAUUCGAAGAACAAAUCGAAGCAUGGCUCUGCAAUGAAGCAAAUUAAAGGAGCAGCUUCAGUUUUGGGCUUUGUAUCACCUUACAAACAGGGGAAAAGCAGAGAAGAAAGGAGCAUAUUCGAUUUGCCCGAGUCGUCGAAAGUGUCUUCCUCUAGCUCUUCUAAGCAUGAAUUAGGAUAUCAUUACAAAGAAAAUGAGGCCAGGUCGAUUCUCAUGCCAGAAAGCUUGCCACAGGAGCCGGUGAAAGAAAGUGGCAGCUCAGAUAGAACAAGGAGGAAACCCUUUAAGAAUCUGUUUCAGAGAGAGCAGAGAGAGGGACAUGGUGUUGGAGGUGGAGGUGGUAAUCAUGGUCAUGAAAAUGAACAAACACCUUCCAAAUCAGCCAAAAAGCAAUGGGGUUUUGAUGGAUUCAAGAAAUGGAAGAGAAGUGACUCGGAGGAUGAGACAACUCCUUUGCCUCUUAAUGAAAGAUCGGAUAGUGAGGUUCACUUGAAGCUUGUCUCAAGCCCCAUGGGUGAAGGGCCGGACACUAAGCUUAUAAAAAGGAAGCUGCUUUCUGAUGGUUCUCCUUCUGAUUUCUUCAUUGAUAAGGUAGCAAAUCUUUAUUUCAAUUUCUUAUUCUUUGGGAUAAUAUUUGAAGCUUGAGCUGAAACUGAACUUGGUCAAUUUGUUCUUAAUAUGAAGGUUUUAGGGGAGAAGAUAAAAAAGGAGCUGUCAAGAAUUCAGACAGAGCUUUGCACUUCAAAUCCAAAUCUUAAAUUUUCGUAAGCCUCUUCUAUUAUCUGACAUUUGGUGACUAUUUAGUAUGUGCAUUGUAUUGAAAAGCAAUCUUUCUUUCACAAAUAUAAUCAGGAAUGACCAAAUCGAAGCGAUUUCCACCAAGCUUCCCGUCGACAAGGCAGACCUGAAGAAGUUCUUUCCCAAGUGAGCAAACUCUCUCUUUUUGUGCUGUUUCAUCCUCCAGUAUUUGAGCAUAUAAGCUAAAACCAUCACACUUACACUUCUUAUUUAUUUAUUUACUCUUUUAUUUUCGAUGUUUAAGGUCAUGGUGUGAUCGGUAUGGAGAUGUUGUUUUGGAUGUGGUGAAAAAAGAAUUCAAGGACCAUGUUGGGGAGAUGGAGAGCUUGAGAAAUGCUGCCAGAGAGAAACAUGGCAUGAACUCAGCUCGAUGGACGACAUUCCAAGACGAUGAGGAGAAUUGUCACCCGAAUCUCUUUGCUUCCGGAGAUCAUUCACACCAUACUUCGAAGUUCCAUGAAACCAAUCCUUUCUGCGAUGAUCACACUCCUAGUGAUGGAAGGAAGCUGAGAUCUAAACCAGCUUUUACACAAGACCACCAGAAUCCCUUUUGGAUCCCAGGGCAUGGCUAUUGAUGAGGACACACAUAUUUUGGGUUUAAUCCCUUUUCUAAGAGUAUUGGUAUUAUCAGUUUAUUGGUGUAUUUUAUUUUGAUUGUCAAAUUGCUGAAUGUGUAUGAACUUUGAGAGAAGAUCUCUGUUCUCCAAGUAAUUCAAACUCUAUGUCUGACUUGUAAAUUUAGGGAAUGUAACAUCCUCCUAUUGUUCGGAAUUUGAUUUGCUCCUGGGGGUUUACCUUUUUUCUAAAUUAGAUAUAUAUCAGCAAUCCAACUCUAAUUUAUCUACUAAUUUAACUCUUUGCUGCAUGCUAAAGGGCCUUGAUACAAAUAUCAAAGAUGCGUUUGAUAGAUGCACAUUCAUACAAUUAUCUCAUUUUCUGCAUCUCUAUACAAGUACUACAAAGCCGCAUCAUGAGAAAAAGAUGCUACAAUAUUGUGGAUCGUGGAAAAUUCUGAUACAAGUUAGUGUUGGAGGACAGAUAACAUGUCAUUGUAAAAGCGAAGAACCAUCAUAACUAUUUACAUCAAUACGUACAAUUAUAUCAAACAGAAGAUAUCUCCGAGUUGGAGACGGAACAGUCAGUGAUGACGCCCUCACGAACAUCUCCUCGGCAAAGUGGACAAACGCUGUAAGAGGGAGGAAAGAGGCAGUAGGGAAAGAACAGAAAGACUUUCAGUAUGAAACAAGGGAAAUGAAGGACAAUCAUUUGAAAGUGGUGGGGGGGCAAUGACAAUACCCGUGUAUCUCUUUGAGCCACUUAUCAACACAUGACAUGUGAUACUCAUGAUGGCAAGGAAGAACUCGAAUUUUGUCCCCUUCCUCAUACUCAGCGAGGCAUAUGUAACACCUAUCAAUUAUUAACUCACCAUGAUCAAACAAAUGCAUUAAAUAAGAAAACACUGAAUCCCACAAAUCAGAAAACACUCAGCAACACCAAACCCCCCCAACCAAGAGAAAAAUAGGCAUAAAUUAAAUAAAACUUACUGUGCAACAUCAUCCCCAGACUUUAAUGUGUCAACCUCUGUGUGACUCUUAAGAGGAAAAGAGUCAACAACAGAUGCAGGGGCAGGGACUGAGACCAUAGAUAGUGAAAGUGACACAGGUUGGCGAUGAAUUUCAUCCAAAACCUGCACGUCAUACAUUACAACAAAAUUAUGUUUAAAAAGUGAUAGUGAAUGAUUGCAUGCAGCUAAAAGCCAUCAAAGAGGCCUCAAAAUGAAUAAUAUACCAAACUCAGACCUAAGUUUUAACCCCAAAACAGGAGAAAAUUACAUAACUACAGGGAUAAUUAACAGCCGCCCCAGGUAAAAAGUGAACAAAACAAAAGGCAAUAACUUAUUUUAUAAAUACCCUCCUCACUCACAUUAUAACCACCAAUGGUUCUUUUUACAAAUCCGAUCUACCAAACAAGAUUCCGGGGGCCACUAGAGGAUUUUAGCUCUAAAAACAAAAGCACAUACAAGACAAGAAUAACAUAACAUGGAACUCAUGGAUCUUAAACCGUUUGAAUUAGUAUAGGUCAAGACCCAAGAAAUUUGAGGACAAUAUGAGAAGACAUAAUCAUGACAAGGAAAGAAAACUAAAACAGAGAAAAUUACCUCAAAUAGAGCUUCAGCAAGCAUGACAAUUCUUGAUAUACUUGCCCGAGUACUAGACUCUUCGGUCAAGAACGAGCCACAUGAGCACAUGCCACGAGGGUGGAUUCCUGUAGGACAGGACGUAUUACGCUGACUAUUGUCAUCAAGGCCAACACGAAGUCUUUCCCAGACCUACAAAGAAGAGUCAUGCCGAUGCAAAUCAAUAAAAGUCAUUGAGAGAACCCCGAAAAAAUAAGAGCUGUUACAAUUCAUAGAUUCUUCGCCCCAUAAAAACAUUUGGAUAAAACAUUUAAUGAAGGAAAUAUUAAAGUACCGUUGAUGAACGACAUGUGAGUAAACAAAUAAAUGAACAUGCAUAUACUGUUGAUACACAUAGGAGCCAAAAAUCUCCCGAAUGAAUGGAACCAAAGAGUCCAAAAAGCCCUAAUUUCAUAUCCAAGUUAAGCCACAUAAUAAACUUUUAAUGUCUAAAAGAUCACCUCGGAUCUAGAAUGCCGUCGUCGUUCAUUUGAGUUGGGAAUUCUAUUGCCCUGGUAACCAGAAUCAGCUCCAAUCCCAUCAUCGAAAAAAUCACCACUCAAACCAAGUAGCCAUCUGUCAUGAAAUCCUAGAUCCUCAGUAUCAUCAGUAGAUAAAAGAAUUGUUGGAGAAUCAAUAAACCUUCUGGAACUGCGUCUUGAAAAUGCAUCCCAGAAUAGUCGUCUGCCAUUCCUUCUGGCCUCACGAUUACUUGCAUCAGCAUUGCUUCUAGACAAAAGGUUGGAAGAAAUACUCAUGACAUCAACAUGAAGUAUACUUCCAUCUUCCUCGCCUUGUUCCCUAUUGGACACAAGGAAUCCUAAACCAGAAGGUAUUGCCUCUCGAAGGGAAUCAUUUCCAAGUGAGUGAAAAGACGAUGGUGUUUCAGAAACACGAGCAGCUUCUGUAUCAGCAUUAGAACUAUGGGCAGCCAUUACUUCAGCCACAUGAUUCUCAACAGACACUUCAGUAGAGCGGGAAUUCCGAAUCCCCUGUGGAGAGGAACUACUUGGACGCAUAACCUCAGGACAGGUCUGAGAUACAUUCUUGUCUGCUGAAUUACCAAUGCCAUUGACUGCAUCCAUAUUAGCGGAACAAUUCACAGAGACUGGGUCUGAAGAUUGUUGUUCUUUAAACGAAGUACUAGCUGUAGUACUAUUAUCCCUACAAGAUUCAUCAUGACUAUAAUCGGCACUUACCUGAUGAGGAGAUACUAGUUCUUUGCUUUUGGACAAGCACUUCCCCUGGUUACUUGUAUGAACACUGCUUAAACCAUCUUCAAAAUAAGUAUUCUGACUGGCUGCAACAGUGCUCUCAGAUGAUGAUCCAAUUUCAAUAAUGGGGCAGGUGAACCGUGCCCCUGUACUGGAGACCAACGAAGUUCCCUCUGUGGAGUUCCGAACUUGAUUAAUAUCCAGAUUACGUUGCUCUGCAUAUUUCACAAGACACUCAGCUGGAUGAUCUUCCAUCUGCAGGAAAAACAACUAAACAAAUCAGUCUCUUUCCAUAAUCUAUAACUACCAAGUACAAAACUAAUUAGAAAUAUAGCUUAUAUCUACUAACUGAAUCAUGAAAUGUUUAAGGAUUCAGGUAGAAAAGGCCAUAUUUAAAUUCGGAACCCUCAAUUAUAUGACCCGAUGAACUAAAUCCCCAACUUUUUUUCAACAAGAGCAUCACAACGAUAAUGGGGACAAUAUUUGCGUUUACAGGUAAAUGAUAAGUCAAAGAAUAACUACGAUAUUACCGAGCACGGGGCCAACCUACUGCAUCAGCUGGCCAAAUCCCAUAUCAUUUUUCUUCGAUUGCAAAUUGAAUUUGAGGAAAAUAAAACCCCAAAACAACUUAUUUUAAAGAAAAAUGCUUAAAAGGCUUUAAAACUUGCACUGGUUUGUUUCAUGAUUAUGAUAGAGGUAUCUAUAUUUUGCACCAGAUGAUGAAAUCCCAAAUCAUCGAAAAACCAAUAAAAAUCGAAUUUUGCAUUCAAAAAGGUCAAAAUGAUGAGAAAUCCAAAAAUGGGUAUUGAAAAUUGAAUUAAAGACAUCAAAUUUAGUGGACGACGAUGAAGAAGAAUAAGAAGAAGGUACCUCGUAAGUAGAACGUGAGGAGGAGCCACCACAGACGAAAGAGGAGAGUAUGGAACGAUUGGUGGUGCGAUUGACUCGGGCCCGUGAUGGGCGGGAGCCCAGUCGACUACUGCUCGAACCCAUUUUAGAGAUUAGAGAGAGAACGCUUGAGAGUUAAGAAGUGGAGGAGGAGGAUGUUGUUGAUGAUAAUUGAAGCACACCAGCUGAGAUAGAGAGAGAGAGAGAGACAGAGACAGAGAGACUCAAGAGGAAGCUUUCUUUCUUUAUUUCAAAUUCAAUUAUUUUGUGGACUUCCGUAUCAUUGCGGUAAAGACUUUUUUUAAUAUUUCUUUUGCCGGAAAAAAGACUUUUAACUAGUAAAUAUGUUCCUCUCCGCGUCAACAUAUUUUAUUGUCUAUGAAGAAUUACACUUACUUAUUUUUUAGUACAAGUAAAUGUGGAAAAAUUGGCUGAAAACCUAACAUGAAAUAUUUGAGUCUGAAAAUAUUAAGGAUCCACCAAACCGGUCAUGGGUUUUUGGGCUGAAGUCAACUUCUUAGUAUGAUUGGGCUCUCGAGCUCGUUGGAAUUGUAUACUUUGCCAAGCUUGAUCCAUCAAGUUUUUGGGCCUUACUCGCCGAGUUUUGGCCCCAAGACAUUUAAAACGAAAAAAAAAAAAGGAAGUUUUAAAGCCGAGUCAUGGCAUGCCAUCAUUGCCAUGUGCUGCGUGCACAAUAAUAAUUGAAGCACAGUACAGCUUGUGAGAGAUGGGGGGUACGUGGUUUGUUUUUGGUCGAAGGGAGGGUUACGUGGUUGGUUGGAACUUGGAAUAUAUAUACGUCCGAAUCUGACAGGGGAGUCUGUGGAUAUAUGACAAUGACAUGAUCAAUUUAUGGCCAUGUAAUUUGUAAUCAGAAAUAAAGUAGAAAAGUAGUUUGGGUUAUGACUGAUCGAUAUGAAAUUGGAAUUGAAUUGUAGGUAGGAAAAGGAUCAUGCAUUAGACUAGUAGCUGAUGAAGAUGAAAGACACGUUUGCCCUCUACAGAAGAAGCACCAUUCUGCCCUAGCUCAGCUUUAGCUUUUUAUAUAAUUUAUAGCCACGAACCUACUUCUACUUGUGUGUGCAUAAAGAAAGAGCAAAAGCACUUUAUUCACUGCUAUAAAAUCCAAAUCCAAUUCUUAAUCUUAAUCCAGCAUUAUAGAGAUCGAGAAAUAUGCCAGACCAUCCACCACCACCGCAGGGGCACGGGCAUGGUCAUCCAGGUCCUCCUCCUGGUCCUCCUGGUCAACCUCCUCCUCCGGCGCAAGGCGGCCAUGGCCCUCCUCCUCCUCAGCCAGGACCCCCUUCAGCUCCCCCUGGCCCUCCUGAACCACACAAGCCACAUCCACAUGAUCCCCAUCAUGAUCAUUGCCACCACCACCACCACCCAUGAAUCUUCAUCUAAUAUGUAUGCAUGCUAGCUAUAUAUAUAGCUUGCUAAGCAGAGGUGUUGUAAUUAUAUAUGUAAUUUCUAGUUUUAACUAGCUUGCUCUCAUCUCAUCUCAUCUCAUCUCAUCUCAUCUCAUCUCAUCUCAUGAUCAUGGAUUGUAAUGACAUUAUCGGCUCUAGCUAGCUAAGAAAUCACUAUCACAGUGUGUUUAUGUACCAAAAAAAGGAUGCUGAUUAUCCAUCUAAAAUAAUAAUGAGAUGACUGAUCUUGUGGGUUUUCCUUUCACUUUUGUUUGGUAAUAACUGACAGUUUUUCCUUUGUUUUACACCAAAAUUCUUUUCCCAAGAAAGAACUUGCAAAGCAGAGCAGACCAAAAAUGCUUAGCAAAGCCAAAAACCCAAACUAACAAGGCAAUCCACAGAGGACAGCAUGAUAAUUAUUCUUCUUUUAUAAUUUGAUAUUUGACUUCAUAAAUGAAUAUAUCUUAAUUAACUACUGCUGCAAGAAAGUGAACAAAAGAAGUGCAUAACAUGGUGGUGUUAAGUGCUCACCCCAGGUUCAUUGAGUUUUUGAAGUACGAAAAAAAAUAUAUAAAAAUAAAAUAAAAUUAUAUAUAUAAGCUAUUGUAAAUAUUAGGCAGAAACUGUUAAUUAAGACAUCUAAUUAUCUCUAAUAAAAUCAAUGAACAUAGUGCUUUAAGAAAAUAUUAAAAUAAUAUUAUUGUUUAAUUGAGUGGUCAAAUGAAAUAUAAAUCCAAAUGAUGUUAUGCAUAGAUGAUCUUUAAAUGAAUACCUAAAAAAUAAACGAUUAAACUAAUUAGGAUAAUUGAAAUACAAUGCAAAAUAUGCCUUACGAAGUGUUUCUCAAAUAAGCCUAUUUAACUGAAAUUCUGUGUAUAUAUAUAUAUAUAUAUAUAGUGCCCCGAAAUUAGAAGAUGUAUGUAUAGUAAUAGUAUAUAUAUCAUCCUAAUUUUUGCGACCUAUAUAGAAAAGUUAAAGAUGAUGUUGGUAUACGCAUAUGAUGUUGUGGUUGUUGGUGUUGUCCUAUCCUAAUUCAGAAGCUUUUCUUUUCUAAAAUAAAAGUGGGGCCGUUGGAGGUCGUUUUCCACUUCAAGUGGGUUUUGCCGACGCCGUUUCCAAUUUCCUUAGACUUGUACUUUUCUCUUUAACAUUAUUACCAAACAAUUUCUUUGUUUUAUCUUGAAAAAGAUGUAAUUAAUAAUAACACAGCAUGGCCCUUUCUUUUCCUUAUGGAGGAAAAAUUACUAGAUUGUUUUAUCUUGAAAAAGAUGUAAUUACUAACAGGAAAAAAAAAACAAAAUUUAUUUUGUCCUCUUUUAAGUAGCUAGAUGGAUAGGAUAGAAUUAUAUAUAAUUAAUAGGAAAGAUCUUUAUUUUUCAUUUUUUAUGUGGCACCUCUUUACGGUGAUGAAAAUCAUCUAGCUAGUGAGGAUGUGGACAUUGCUUUGUGUUUUGUAUUACCGACAAUAAAUAUUGCAUUAUAAAAGCCACUGCUUUCUUCAACAAUUCGCCACAUCAACAUUCAACCGCUCAACAAGUAAGAAUCACACCAAGAGUAAGAGUCUCUCUGCAACUGCAACAACCAAUUCAAGAAGAUGCACCGCCCAGGAGCCGGCCCUCAUGAUCAUGGCCAUGGACCUCCAGGCGGCGGUCCAGGAGGCCAAGGUGGCGGUCCUGGAGGCCAAGGAGGCGGUCCAGGAGGCCAAGGAGGCGGGGGUCCAGGAGGCCAAGGCGGAGGCGGUCCAGGAGGCCAAGGCGGAGGCGGUCCAGGAGGCCAAGGCGGAGGAGGUCCAGGAGGCCAAGGGGGUGGCGGUCCAGGAGGACAUGGCGGAGGAGGUCCAGGAGGACAUGGCGGAGGCGGUCCAGGAGGCCAAGCCGGAGGCGGUCCAGGAGGCCAAGGCGGAGGCGGUCCAGGAGGCCAAGGUGGAGGCGGUCCAGGGGGGCACGGUGGCCGCUGAUAAGUUAACGAUGACGGGCAACAAGACUUGUGGUGUACUAAUAGCUAGUAGUACGCAGUCUAUAUAUGAUGAUAUAAUGAAGUUGAUGAUGAGAGUAAUUAGCUGAUAUAAUGAUAAUGUUGUGUUUGUUAUUAAUUAGUAAUGUUUUUCUAAUCAUGUUGGGUGAGAUCCUUCCCUUCCCCGGCCAUCUCCAGUAGCUCAGUUUCAGCUAACUGGAGAAGAGGAGGGCGGUUUAUGUAAUACUAGUGUAUGAUGCAUGCAUAUAACAAUAAAAUGAAGAUGAUAUAUACGUUGCCCUUCUAUUCGUUUUAGUGCUUUAUAUUUGUGUGUGUGAGAAUGAGUCUUUUGGUUUUUACUUUCACUUUUGUUUGGUGUAACCUACAGUUUUUACUCUGUUUUACACCAAAAUUCUUUUCCCUUGUGUUUUUGUUUUUUAAUACGUCAAGAAAAGAACUUGCAAAGCCAAAAGGCCCGACCUGCACCCAGGACGAUAUUCAAUAUUAAUAUACCACAACUAAUUAACUAUAAACCAAAUUAACAAGGCAAUCCAUAGAGGACAUCAUGAUAAUUAUUCUUAUUUUAACAAACCUUAUAUAAUAGUUAUUUUCGGAAGUCUACAAAGUUAUUAUUGUGCCAAUACUAUUGUAAAUAAAAAAGAAAGUAAUGAAGAAUAUUAAAAAAAUACAUGACAUCCACACAAUAAUAACGUCUAAACGUUCGUAUAUGAGAAUUUCUCUAUAUAUAAUGGCAAGAAAAUGAAAGAUAUAGAUUGUUCUAAUUUGAAAUUUGAUAAAAACAAACAAAAGGCUUCGUGUGAUGCACAUGUAACAUGUUUCAGAUGGACAGUAAAUGUUCUUGUAAUAAUAUUGUCCUCUUUAGUCAUUUUAUAGUAGCUAGAUGGAUAAGAAAGAAAAUAUCUUUUAUAUGUGGCACCUAUUUACGAUGAUUGAAAAGCAUCUAGCUAGCUACCAUGUGGAAGUCGCUUUGUACCGGCAAUAAUAUUGCAUUAUAAAAUCCUACUGCUUUCUUCAACAAUUCGCCACAGCAACAUUCCACAACUCGACAAAGUAAGAAUCAACUCCAAAAUAGUCUCUCCGCAACUGCACUGCAACAACCAAUUGAAGAUGCACCGCCCCGGCCAUCAUGAUCAUGGCCAUGGACCUGGGGGCGGUCCAGGCGGACCAGGCGGCGGUCCGGGAGGACCAGGUGGACCAGGUUCCCAUGGACCUCCAGGCGGCGGUCUAGGAGGACCGGGAGGACCAGGCGGGGGUCCAGGAGGACCGGGAGGAGGUUGGGGAGGACCAGGAGGACCGGGAGGCGGUUGGGGAGGUCCAGGAGGCGGUGGUCCAGGAGGACCGGGCGGCGGUUGGGGAGGUCCAGGAGGCGGUGGUCCAGGAGGACCGGGAGGAGGUUGGGGAGGACCAGGAGGCGGUGGUCCAGGAGGACCUGGCGGCGGUGGUCCAGGAGGACCUGGCGGCGGUGGUCCAGGAGGCCUGGGAGGCGGUGGUCCAGGAGGCCCGGGAGGCGGUGGCCCAGGAGGACCAGGCGGCGGCGGUCCAGGGGGACAUGGUCGCUUCUGAUGGGCAACAAGACUUGUGGUGUACUAGUAGCACGUAGUCUAUAUAUGAUGAUAUAAUUAAGUUGAUGAUGAGCGUAAUUAGCUAAUAAUGAUGAUGUUGUGCUUGUUAUUAAUUUCUAGUUAGAGUUUUGGUAAUCAUGUUGGGUGAGAUCCUUCCAUUCCCCGGCCAUCUCCAGUAGCUCAGUUCAGCUAGCUGGAGAAGAUAAGGGCGGUUCAUGUCAUACUAGUACUACUGUAUGAUGCAUGUAAUAUAUAACAAUAAAAUUAUUAUGAUAUGAUUAUGUUGCCCUUCUAUUCUUUAUAUUUGCGUCAGCGAGACAGUGAGAGAUUGCUCUUUUAUUAUAGACUACCGAUUGAUAUGUUUAUCUUUAUUCUUCAUAGUUAUAUAUAUAUAUAUAUAUAUAUAUAUUAUCUAACAUAUAUAUACAUUUAAACGAACUUUAAAUUUAACUGAAUACACUUUAAUAUUUAAAUUAAAAUAUAAAAUUAAUCAAAAAUAUUUUAUUUAACUAUUAAAAAUAUUCAUGAUAUACCAUAUCACACAACACCAAACUCAUUCGAGAGCUAGCUGCUGCAUUUCUCCUUCACACAAACUUGGUGAUAUAAAGAUAUCAAAGGGGGAUUUGCUGUGAUCGUGAUAGAGAAAUUUUUAUGUUACUCUUUUAAGGUUGCUAAAUUCGUUAGAGAGGAGCAGGGUAUAUUUGGACUGAUAUGAUCAAAGCUUUGCAGUUUCGGCUUAACUAGCCUUUGAUUAAAGGGCCUUCUACAGCUUCUUUUUCAUUUUUCUGAUUUGUAAUAAUUCUGUGAAGGACAUGGUGUAAUUAGCUAACUCUUGAUUGGGUUUGAAUGAGUCGUAGUGAAGCCAAGUUAUAUUGUUUUCUAUUUUGAGUCUGGCUUUUCUGGUCUGGAGGCUUUGAAGUUGAUACUGGUAUUAGGUGACUUGCCGAUGGUUCUUUGAUUCAUCAGUCGAUCAAAUUUUCAGAUGAAGCAAAUUGUUACCAAAGCUUCUUCUAUUACCCAAAAAGCAAAGAAUGGUUUGGAAACUCACACAAUGGUAAUGGUAGGGUGUACUUAGUAACAUUUGUUUCACAAUCAAUAUAUCUUUUAUGGUAAUUUUAUAUUAGAGUAAAUUAGUAAUUUAAUGAAUAGUUUAGUAGUAGAACGUACUCAGUUAAUUUUAAAGUUCGUUUAAUAGUAUCCUUGAUUUAUCGGCUCGUUUAGAUUACAAAUUUUGAAGAAAUUAAGGUAAAAUGGUAUAGCAAAGAAGAUAUAUAUUUGAGGUGAAGAUGAAGAGUGGCAUGAAGAACCAGUUUGUUGUCAAUCAAGAUUCAAAUAGUUGCCAUCAGAACUUCUAUGUGAUACUUUUUAAAAUUAUGAUCACCUAAUGUAGAUUGCAGAGCCAUUGGAGAGAGGACUUGCGGAGGACAUUGACACAAGGUACCUAACAUUCUAUUAGACGAUACACUUCCAACUGAAGUUGACAAAAGCUUGCUGAAUGCUGUGAAGGAUUCGAUUGUUCAAGGGUAUUUGAAAUGAAUUCUUCUUCUUUUGCCGGUUAUUGUUGUUUCAGUUUAUUGCUUACCAUAAUGUUAUGGUGGACAGGUUUCAGUGGGGGAGCUGUACAUAGAUUUUCUGAUUGAUUUCUGAUGCUGUUGUUUCAGACGACUGUUUUUCUGCAAUCUACACUGUUCUAUCUCGCAGGCGUGGGCUUAUAUUGUUACUGUUUUUUGGUAUCCUCCUAAUUCCAUACAAAAAUAACAAACCAGUAACAUUGAGAUUGUUCUUCUCUGUAAUCCAAAGGUGGAUCAUGCUUCUGCUACUGCUGCUGCUGCUUGCUAAUUAUUUUUUCACUUUAAAAUUCAACUGAGAAUGCCACUGCCACGUUGACAUCACACACAGAUGGAUGCUCUUGCUGCUGUAAAUGCCAAUGAGAUCCAUUUCUGCGUUACGCGGCACCUUCCAAAAGUAUAAUUAAACCAAAUAUUCGUCCUCAAUGGGCAAUUAUUUUCAGAUACGACAAACGACCCUAUGGCCAAUUCGCAAAUAUUCCAAAAUACAUAAUGUCGUUUAUUUACUUUUUACGUUUGCACUUGUGGUUCACAUGUGUUUGAAAGUCAAAGCACAACCACUCUUAUCUUCCCCUUUCUUUCCGUCUCUCCAAAAAUUCUCCAGUCUCUCAGCAUCUCACCAGCGAUGGUGAAGACGAGAAAAUGAAAGAGCUUAUCAGAGCUCUGGUGGAAGACUUAGAUAUUGGAUCACACGAAGCCAAUACUGUAGCUUCGUCGUCACCUUCUUCCCCUCUGCUUACGACCCUCCGCCUCAAUCAGAGAUUGAUAGGAAAAGAUCAGGUAAAACAUUAGGGUUUUAUACAUUUUUCCUUCUGUUUUUAUUUUUUGCAGUCGGUGAAUUCUCUGUGCAACUAAAAACUCCAACAUUUUGGAUCCACCAUCUUUCUCCGUAAUUAUAGUUACUGUAUAUCUGAGCAUUCUGUGUAGCUUUUUGUGUGUAGUACUAAUUGCAAAAUAUUGAGUUCAAUAGACAAUGCAAUCCAAAACCUCAAGCCUAGCUCCAGCUCUCAACUAUUUCCCAACCCUCAAACCCCCACACAAAACUCUAGCUUUCCACCAAUUUUCAGUCCUUAUCAUCACCUUCCUUGCCUAUGCUUCGUUUCAUGCCUCUAGAAAGCCCCCAAGCAUUGUCAAGAGCGUGCUUGGACCCACAAUUCAGUCCAAUACCAGCUCAGCCGAUACGGGGUGGGAUCCCUUUAACGGUCCCCAUGGUGCCCACAGGCUAGGAGAGCUUGAUCUUGCAUUUCUUUCUGCGUAUUCGAUUGGAAUGUACUUUGCAGGGCAUGUCGGUGAUCGGAUUGAUUUGAGGUUGUUUCUCGUGUUUGGGAUGAUGUGUAGUGGCAUUUUAACAAUAUUCUUUGGGUUAGGAUAUUGGUUUGGUGUUCAUUUGUUGGGGUACUUUAUGGCUGUUCAAGUACUUUGUGGGUU